AUCGCCGGAGACAGCUUUGGUGGAGGAGACACCGGUUUUGCCGGUAUGUUUGAUCGGUGGGGAUUUUCCAUAGGGUUUCAUCGCGGAUUCGGCUUCUUAAGAGGAAUCUCUCGAUUUUGAUUGGAACCAGAUAAUGGUGAAGAGAUAGAAAAUUUUGUGAUAAAUGGAUCUGGAGAAAAAAUGGUUAUAAAGAAAUUCAGAGGGAAAAAGGUGAAAGGAAGCCAUAAAUGGAGGCUUGAUUACACAGAGAUGAAUCGUGUGUCGUUUGAUCGACAAUCCGUUAGAGAAUUGGAAACGACGAAGAACAACACACAAAAGGAUCCGGAGUUCAUCGUCUCACAUUUCUAGGGUUUUCCCUCUCAUUGGGCUAAACGGGCCAAACAAAUUCAAGUUAACAGAUCAAAAAAUUAUUAGAAGCCCAACACGAAAAU
rnacentral:lncRNA from 1 species